rnacentral:siRNA from 1 species
GAGGAAUGCAAGAAGACACGGUGA